rnacentral:lncRNA from 1 species
UGUCGCGAGGUGUGAAACCCACGCGCACGAAAUACAAAUUACAAACCACUGUUUAGUGUUUACAUUUCCUUCUCUACUGUGACAACUGUGCUUCGAGUCUGUUACAAGUUUAAAUUAUGUUUAUUGUGAAGGCGAUUUUAAGAUUUUUUUGGAGAUGAACACACGAGAGCUUAUGAUGUUGUAUAAAGAAGAAAUUAUAAGAGGCGAAUAAAUUGAUGGUUCCGUUACAAACGAUGCAAAGAAAUUCAAGACUUCGAAGGUCCCGAAUAGCUUGAAAGUGAAAAGUCUGCUUCAUUCUAAUAAUUCAGAGACCACCGAAGCGCAUGGCGACGCGAACAGAUUCGACAUCACAAGAGAGACUUGGUGACCUUUGUUGAUUAUGAAGAUCAUGAAUUAAGGCGAUGAUGUUAUUGCAACAGUUGAGCAGGCACCAUACACUCCAACAAACAAGAACAAGGGUGACCAACAAGACAAGAAAACACCACCAAGUGUCAAGUCGAGACGACAUCAAGUCAAUAAACUGUUUAUAGAGUAAGACAUUAUUUUAAAAUAAACUGCAUGCUUCAAGAUAUUUAUAUAAUUCAUUACUGUGACUUCAUGUUAAUUCUUAAUAGUAUUGGAACUUAAAAUAUAUUUAUAAAUUAAUAUUGUGUUUGUGUGUUUUCUAGCCCUGUUUAUAUGUUACUUUUAGGAAAGGUGUGCAACUUUUUACUUAAACAAUUUGUGUGUUCUCCAGCACAGCUUUAGCUGUGUAAUGAAACACACCAUGGUGUGUAUGAAAACACACCUUCUUUGAAAACACACCUUAGAACGUGUUAAAAUUUGGACAAGCCAAAAACACAUCUUUUGGUGUGUUUUUUGACACACCUUUUAGUGUGUUCUACACACCUUUUGGUGUGCACA